GCUUAGCUGUCAAGCUUAGGUGAGGCAGAUCCCAACUUUGCUGUUGAGUGUAACUUAGAUUUUGCUUGCAUGUCUAAGCAUCCAGCAGUUGCUUUUUUUAAUGGUACAUACUCCAAGUGAGAAUUAAGGAGCUUUCUCUGCCUCACCUGAACCCUUCUUCUCUCUAGCAUUACUGCUAAUAAUUCACUCUAUUCUGGUUUUCUUCAUUAAUAUUUCUGCCUUUGCAUCCUUUUAGUUAAAGCUUUAAGCAGGCUUGCUAAUGUAUCCAAUAUGAGAUAAUAAUACCACAUAAGCCAAUACCAUCAUAAUGAUACCAUAAGAUUGAUAGCAAAGUUCCCAUACUAAGAAUGAUGCCAAUGUCUUCCACAAAGGAGGUAGGAUUUAACCUAUGCCAGCCCACUGAUUUUGCCACUUCCCUUCACUACAUCUCAAAAUCAAAGAGAAUGUGCAUCAGCAGGAGGAGCAGCUACGACUGACCAAGGAAGGUUAUCUUUCAGAUUUUUCAAAACAAUAAAGUGCAUUGAGUUUUCACUGCUUUGCUGCUGGCAUGCUUUCUCUACUUCUCCUUGGACAGGGAAACCUGAUAAAUAGGAUGCAGCAUUUUCCACAAACUUGUCUGUGUUGAGAUGCCCCCAAAAAACCUGAUGAGGCAACAAACUGGAUUGCUAUGGCAGGACUUCCCCCAGAGAGCCAUGGGAAGAGUAUGAAUAUUACAGGUCCUGAUUUCUCACCUAGUUUUGCUCAGUGGCAGAAGAGUGAGUACAGAAGUGUCAGCAGACAGGCAGCAAGGUCUGGUCAAGGAAGGGAAAGGAUUGAUGCACAGAAAGGGGGUAAAGCCUUUGCACUUUGCUGCCUGCUCUGUUUCUAGAAAUGCCAAACUGGAGCUGAGGAAAGAAUGGGAAAUCAUCAAAAUGGGGACACUCACCUUUCUGCUACUUUGGACAUCUUUAAACAAUGUCUCUCUAUCUGCAUGUUCAGAAAAGUUAUCUAAGGAGAGAGAUGACAAGGACAUUAACAAUUUAUGAGUUCUGCAGCAUGCACUGACAAUAUCCCAACACAUUAUUGAUUUCUCUUUCCAAACAGCUUGAAAGUUACUCAGAAGGAAAUGGGACCCUUCCCUAGGUAUCAGAAACUUAUUAACUGCUUCCAAUAGCAGAUUCCAUUGCCAAAGGCAAAGCCCCAGGGGAAGCUUCAGAAGACAUAACUGAAAGUAGAAAAGACACAUACGUGGGGCCAAGGUUCCUAGACUACUCGGAGUACAAUAUGAUCUCCUUUUUCCAAACACACUCUGCUCUCCCAUUCCUCUUACUGACUGGCAUCACAAGACCAGUAAGAUUUUACAGCACACUUUCAUUCUGCUAUGAACCAGUUCUUCAGCCUAUUAUAAAAAAGCUCAAGAAAUGUAGCAUCCAGGUUUAGUUCACAAGACCACCCAAAAACUGGUUGCCUAAGAAAUUUGUUUAAAGCUGCAUUAGGAAAAUGCUGAUCCAGUGAUUCCUGUUUGUCUUUCAGUGAGGGCUGCUUGUUGCAGCAAAGUAAUUUUGAGGGAGAGCUCUUUGUGCCAGUGCAAGGACAUGUGAGUUGGCUGGUCAUUCCUUGGCAUGAUUGUCCAAAUAACUUUUUCCUAGUUUCCUAAAAGCUCUGACUGUACAGUUUAACAGUCAUGCACUAAACGAUGCCUUUCCUCACCACUCAUCCCCAGCCUGUGCCCAGUACACUGGCCUUUGUCACUGUCCACUUUACAGACAUCCUCAGUGAACUGGAAUUAUUGCCUUAUUGUCUCUGUCUGGUCCACAGACAAUAAAAGUAGUUUCAAAGGUCAGUGUUACUCAUAAUACAUAUCACCAUACAACUGCUCAAUGAAUACUUACUAAUACUUUACAUAAGUGAGAAUCAAGGAUAAGUGUGUGAAGAUCAAGGGCAGGUAAAGCAUACAAUUGGUUUUGCUGGUAUCUCAGUAACUUUCUAGGCUUUUUUUUCUGGGAGCAGUUCUCAGAAGAGUUGCCAUGCAGCCACCUGCUUACCUGCUUCCGGAAAUCCUCUUUUGUCGUUUUGCGCACCGGUUGGGAGGGCAGGUGUACAGGGCUUUGGGGCUGAGACUCCUCUGUAACCCCAUACACUGACUGGGAGGAACCAAGGAACAAAACAAAGGAUUACAGCAUUUCUCUGUUACACAACGAGGAACAGUGCAGUAUGCAAAGCAGUAAGGUAUCAAGCCAGCAAUUUCCUACUGUUUAUACCCACACAGGUAAAUAAUUAUUCAGCCCUGAGCAAAAUUUACAGAUCAGACCUUUCUUGCUGAUGCCUGCACUUAGAAGGCCUGUAGGCAUGUUAAGAGGAGAGUUUGUUUUAAAUGUUUAAAUGAUAAUUUUUAGGAGCUCUGAAGGCUGCGUGCACUAACACUUGCACAGGAUGAACACUGGGAUCUGUCACUGGGGGGGACAAAGUGGUAAAAGAAAACAUUUGAACCUAAUUCUAUGCUGCUGUCUUUCACUUGAUUUAAUUUCUUGAUGUAAAACUACAUAUUGAAGAAAGUGCUUAACUAGGUCAAGUCAAUAGGUCACAUGAACUUCUCUAAACAAAAACCUGCAGACUGACCUGUAGCCAUUCAUUUUCGGGACAGACACCUGCACUGAAACUAAUACCAUUUGCCCUUUCAUGUAGUGCUUUUGCUUUUCAGUAAAACUUCUAAUAGACAUGUGAAUAGCUCUGCUGCAGUUUAAUUACUUAUGGAUGUUCAGGAGUCUAGUGUUCUGUCCAAAAAUAUAACAAGUGAUGAGAUAAGAAGAAACAGCCUUAAGCUGUGCCAAGAGAGGCUUAGAUAUUAGGAAAAAAAAUUCUUCUCUGAAAUGGUUAUCAAGCACUGGAACAAGGCUGCCCAGAGAAGUUUUUGAGUCACCAUCCUUGAAACUAUUUAAAAGACAGGAGCAUGGUUUAGUGAAGGACUUGGUUAGGUUAAGGUUUUGAGUCACUGAUCUUAAUGGUUUUCUUCAAUCUAAUUGAUUGUAUGAAUUCAUAUACAUAGAAGAGCUCAAACUUGCUGGAAGUGAAAGACACCCAAGUUGCUAAUGAUCCAGCCUUUGAAAUGAUUAAGGCAGGUAAACAUCUCAUUAUCUGUGCCCAAAUAAUUUCUUAAAAAGGGACCUGGGUAUUUUUGCCAAUUCAUUUUAAUUUUAUGGCACUGCAGAGCCAUCAGACAUUUGGGACAUAGAGAUCCUUAAUGCCCUUCUCAGCUCCACCCAUCAAGUUAGUACAACUUUGCUGGUAAAACUGAAACAAUAAAUUCACCAAGGAGAACAAAACAGAACUCGUACUAACAAAACACUUUUGUUUUUUGUUCCUCCUGGGCAAGUCUCAUAUACAGUAGGUGUCAAGUAUGAUUUACAUUAAAAUAAAACAAAAACAGUGAACCAAACCAACUCCAAACAAGCAAAAACCAAAACCAGGAACUCAAACUGACCUUUUUCACUUUUUGUGGGUUUUUCAUACGGCGACAUUUUCUGAUGUCCAUUUCUGUGGUGUUCACACAGCCUGGCUGAAAAGAGAUGGUAAUUGUGUUAUUCCUCUGUUAAGAAUCUUCAUCCUACCUUACCUUUAUAAAUAUAUGAUUAGAUAUUUUCCAAAACUCUUUCUUGAGGUUUGUGCCCCAUAAAUUACUCUUGCUAAAUAAGAGAGUGCAUAUGCCCAAGGAUGCCAUGUCAGCAUUCAAUCCACUUACUCCUAACUUUGGCACCAAAAGGAAAUACCUAACAGGGGGGAGCUUUUGCUAGGAAGUCUGAGACACACUGAAUAAGCUGCUUUUCUUUCAUAAGCCCAGUAAAUAAUUUUCCAAAGUUUGUAUUUUUCACAUAUUUCCAAAUCAACAGUUCCAUAGGUACAGAAGUUCAGAAUAUCAUAAAUAAUCUUGCAGACACUUGGUGCGUUUUGAACGAGUCACCACGAGGAAAAUCCAUGUGGUGACUGUAAGGGCAAUGUUUUUCUGCAUAAAACAUUUACUAGUAAUAAAACUUUUCCUGUCAAAACCUGGAAAGUCUCUUCAUUCAAAAAUAGUCUUACCACAGGCCUGUGCACAUCCCAGAAUGCUCUUUCCUGGCUGUCCAAAAUCUUUCUUUCUGUUUUAUCCUUUUUCCUGUCGAUUCU